rnacentral:tRNA from 1 species
GCGCCCGUAGCUCAGUUGGAUAGAGUACAGCCCUCCGAAGGCUGGGGUCGCAGGUUCAAGUCCUGCCGGGCGCGCCA